rnacentral:rRNA from 1 species
UACGGAGGAUGCGAGCGUUAUCCGGAUUUAUUGGGUUUAAAGGGUGCGCAGGCGGCGAGUUAAGUCAGCGGUAAAAUUUCGGGGCUCAACCCCGACAAGCCGUUGAAACUGGCUUGCUAGAGUGGACGAGAAGUAUGCGGAAUGCGUGGUGUAGCGGUGAAAUGCAUAGAUAUCACGCAGAACUCCGAUUGCGAAGGCAGCAUACCGGCGCCCAACUGACGCUCAGGCACGAAAGCGUGGGUAUCGAACAGG